GGGGAAUAUUGGACAAUGGGCGCAAGCCUGAUCCAGCCAUGCCGCGUGAGUGAUGAAGGCCUUAGGGUUGUAAAGCUCUUUUAGCGGGGAAGGUAAUGACGGUACCCGCAGAAAAAGCCCCGGCUAACUUCGUGCCAGCAGCCGCGGUAAUACGAAGGGGGCUAGCGUUGCUCGGAAUUACUGGGCGUAAAGCGCACGUAGGCGGACUCUUAAGUCGGUGGUGAAAUCCUGGAGCUCAACUCCAGAACUGCCUUCGAUACUGGGAGUCUUGAGUUCGGGAGAGGUGAGUGGAACUGCGAGUGUAGAGGUGAAAUUCGUAGAUAUUCGCAAGAACACCAGUGGCGAAGGCGGCUCACUGGCCCGAUACUGACGCUGAGGUGCGAAAGCGUGGGGAGCAAACA
rnacentral:rRNA from 1 species